CCCCUCCAGGGAUAGGGCACCCACAGCUUCUCUGGGCAACCUGGGCCAGGCUCUCACCACCCUCACAGCAAAGAAUUUCUUCCUAAUACAUAAUCUAAGUCUGCUUUCUUCCAGUUUAAAACCGUUAGCCCUCUUCCUAUCGCUCCUACUUAGAACCACACAAAACUUACGAAUAAUUGAGAAGAGAGUAAGUUUUGCUAUUUGGUCCUACAACAGGAGAGGAAAAAAGGGAGGAGAGCUCAAGGGCCCCUUCAAGCUUGUCACAGGAAGGAAAAAAAAUAUUUCCUGGUGGAAAUCCAGUAAUCAAUUUGGCCUUGAACCUGUGAGCCAGGCAAAUUAAGCAGGUGCCCAAAAAGUUUCUUAGUAUUACCAGGGGCAUCAGUGCCUCCUGCGAGCAUCCUGUCCCUCGUGGUCGUCAGCAGGCAGGGCUCCACAGGAAGAUGACUUCACCUGGGCUCUGGGUUUGUUUGCAUUCUAAGGGGAAAACGUAUCUACUGUGUCCUGCAAGGCUUGGUUCGUGCCCUCAGAGGAUAUUUUGACCAAGGAUAAACCUUACAUCUCUAUAUUGGUAUAUGAUUUGUUAAUUAAAAUACAGAAACUAUUAGAUGCAGAUCACAGACUGAUUGAUGAGACCAAGUGUAAUAAUGAAGAUAACAGUAGCAUCUUUUUUCGUAUUUUUAGUAAUAAUCUAGAAAUAGAUAUAGAAAACGUUUUCUGUUAAGCCUUUGUGGACAGAUCAGUGACAGUUGAAAAGACAUACAGAUUUAUUGAUACAGAGCAAUCCGAAUGACUUUGUGAGAGCACCUUAAAAUGCACAUUAGUACAGUCAAUUUCAGCUCCGUGUCUCAGAACAAGAAAUCUAGGACAAAUCUGCACAAUUAAAGUCAGAGAGGGACUGAGGAGGCAUGCAAUGUCUGGGUACUUCCAAAAGCAACAGCAAGAGGAGAAUAUUUCUGUGGUUGCAUCAGCAGGAGCAAGCAUAAAUAGGUAUUUUACUUAUAAACAGGUAUUUUACCUCUAUACAAGUUUUAGUGAGAGUUAAUACUGAGACAGCGUAUAUGGUUCUAGAGUCUGGAGUUCUAUGGGGUCUUCUAAAAAGCCACCAACAUUAUUCAAUGGCUGAAGAAACCUGUUUAACUCAUAAAAGAAGACCAGGAGGCGGCUUGAUUGCAACAUGUAAAUAAGUUGAAAUACUUUCCAAACAUAAAAACAUUGCAACAACCCAUUGACUAAAAGCUAAAAGUACAAUUAUCUAUAAGAGGUUUGGGGGUUUGUUUUCUCUUGUUUUUUUCAGCUCGGAAUAGUGCCUUUUUGGAUGCUAUUUGAACACGUGCUACCAUUUAAGCAAAUGCUGUGGGAAGCUUUCUGAUGGACGUGACUGUUCUUGGGGAAGAACCAGUGAAAACUGGUGUAACUGGAGACUUUCCUGCCGUGCUGGUGCUGUGGGGCAGCAGUCGGGGUCGCAGCAGCGGUGAUGCUCUGCAGGGAAUGGCACAGCUGGUUGGGAAGCAGGGCCAGCAGAAACCACCUUCCUUCUUGCGUUGCUGUCGUGCCCGACCCUCGUGUUCCACCAGCGCAGGUGGAGUGUGUGGUGACGUGGUGGAGAUGACGGACCCAGGAGCUUCUGAAGCACACCAUUUCAGAGAGUUUCAAUUUACAGAAGAAAUGAAUGCACAUCAGGUGUUCCUGCCAAGAAGCCCAGCUGGAUGGGUUUGGGGUUUGGAAGACAGUACUUUGAUACCUCAGGGUCCUGUCUAGAGUCUGCCAGUCAUGCAGACACCUUGCUUUCAGAUGGUUCUUCUCCCCCCACCCUCAACAGCAGUUGCUCUAUUCACACCUACCUCCUCUUCAGCCAUGGUUUGUUGCAAGACAGCUUUCCCUUCUGAAGAGGUUGAACUGCUCACUUGAGAGGCGAAUGCACAUCUCACUUCAACACGCAUGACUGUGGCCAGUUUCUGGUGACCAGUGAACCAAGAUGGACCAAUAAUUCUUUUCAGAAUUACAGAACACUCAUAAGAUUUUUUUGACGUUGCUCAGGUGCUAACAUUUGGGCUGGGGAGAAGGAUUGGUUUCUACAUGUCUGAAGGCUUUUCCUCUUCAGGAUUUUGUUUUUCAACUGGAUCAACAGACCAGUCUGGCACUGCACCUAACCCUGUGAUGACUGGUAGCCACACGAGAGAGCUGAUGGCAAGCUACAUUAAUUGCCCCCAGCAAAACCUUGUUACUUCUCCCCGAAAUCUGACGUCCCAAGGGACAGAGGAAGAACUCCACUCCUCUAAAAGGCAUCCACCAAAGACUACAUCAAAGAAAGGAGAUUUUUAAAGGAGCCAGUAGGAAACACUGAGCAGAAUUAUUUCGAUCUUACCCCACUCUGUGGUCCCUGUGACCUGGGAGGGGGCUACUGGGCUUCAAAACACUUGAAGGAAGAAGCACUUGUGGGCACACAGAGAGGAUGUGCUGCUGCUCCUGGUGGGCUGGGGGGAGGAUUCCCCCAUCGCUGUAUUUUCUCUCUCACUACAAAGUGCUCCCUUAUGUCGUGGCCUCACCCUGUGGACCUUUGAAGGACCAGAUCCUGAAGAAGGUGGAGAAUCCUGUGCCAAGAAUAUCAAGCCUUCUCUUCGCCAUUCAGGCACUGAUCUACCUUGAUGAAUAUAGACCUGAAGAGAGGACUCCUUUGAACAUCCCUGUGUGUGUCUGUUACAGAGCCAGACCUUUCUGGUGUUCACAGCCUGUAGGAUUCUUUCACAGCUGCUUGGCUGCCACAGGGGAGCUAGGGAAGGUGCAUUGGAGAACCACCAGAAUUCAAGUGAUUUUUAUUUAAUUUUCCUGUCUGCAGUCACAGUGCAAAAAAGGUCGGGUCCAGUCCCGGGUUCUGCCCUCUACAGCCAACCAGGUAAGCUGGUCUGGACUGAAAGCAUACCUUAGCCAAGUCAGAGGUUUCUCCCCUGUGUACAACAAGAACCACAGACUUUAAUUUGAGUAAAAACAUGAGUUAACUGUGCAGUGGAGAAAUAUCCCCAGAGCAGCUUCUCAGGAUGUCAUCAUAAGUCUUCAGUUGUGGAAAAACAAAGUGAUGAGACCUGAAUUUCUACUGUUAAAACUGGGGAGGAAAGAGGUUGCAGGGUGGGUUUUUUAAUUAAUCAAAAAGAAGUCACCUUUGAAGGUGACCCAUUCCUUGGCUGCUCCUGGCUUGAUGGUAUGUGAGAAGCAAUACUGUUCUCUGUGAAAACAGGAAGUGCUUUGUUUUCACUUAAGAACAAACAAACAAACAAAAAAAUCAAACAAAAAAAGCCCCAGAAGUCCCUGUCCUUAAAGGUCUGAUUAUGCUGGACCAAGCACAAAAUCUAUUACGGAGGUAUUAGUUGCCUGCACUGUUUGUGUAGUCACACAUCACACCUGCUAUUUCCCGUAGGAGUCUAACACCGGUAGUGUUUUCCAUCCCAAACUGGGUACGGUGCUGGAACACCACACAGAAAAGGAAUCUGCGAGGAACAGGCCUGAGCUGUGUUAAACCAAUGACUUAACAUGACUUCAAAAGAAAAAAGCCACCCAGGAAAACCAGAUGAUGAAAUUUGCCACCAUUCAAUUAAAAAGUCAUCCUUUCCUGUUGUUCAGCGAGCGCUGGGCUUCCCAAGUUCACCAGUCUUUCCUGGGAUAAGUGACUCAUGAACCUGAUAGGAAAAUGCACCUGUUUUUAGCCAGCGCUUUCAGCAGCUCUCCAGUUACCAGAGUAAACAAAGGAUUUAUUUCUGUCCUUAGCAGUUACCCUGCAAAGUCCAGGAACACAGGAUGGCUGGCAGGAGCAAUUAGGUCUGAGCCAAGUUUGCUGAAGUCAGUAGAAGGUCUGUGAAGUCCAUGGUAAGAUGCUUGUAGAUGCCAGUAGGGUUUGGCCUGUGGCUUUUCCUAGACAGAAAAUGGGACAGCAAAGUUGGUGCAGUGAUUGUGCCGGCUGCCGAGGACUCCAAGGAGCUGGAAGGUGUCUGCUGUGGUGUGGAACAUGUAUUCUCUUCUCUGGUCUAGAGAUCUCCAUCUGUACUCUUGGCAGAAGAGCAGCUGGCAGUCACAGAGGUGUGAUGGGUAUAGAUGCAUUCAAGUCUAUGAGACUGAUCAGAGACCACAGUAAUGGCAACCAUGAAAGUGGUUAAAAUAUUUGGAGAUGAGAGUGGUGGAUGUAUUGGUAUCAUGGAAGCUGAGGGGUUCAAUUAGCUGAGAGUCACUUAUUAAUCCCGGCAUGAGAAAUGGGAUGUGUUUGAUCUCCACAGAGAAGCGCUGAAAAGUGCAAACACAACAUCAGCUUAUUUCAGGUCAGCACUCAAGAUGGUAUAAAGACAAGAUGGAUUUUAGCCUUUAUUUAACUGGAUUUAAUUACAUGCAUGAGCUUCAAAGUGCCUAAGGCUUAAUGGAUGGUGACCUCAGGUCUUACUGAAAAAGCAACAACAACCUAAACCUUAAGCUUCUUGGUUAGACCAUAUGGCAUGAGCGCACCAUGUGAUGUUUCAGGAAGGGAUGUAAGGAAUAAAGCACCCAGCGCAUCCAAAGCAUUUGCCAAGAUUUCCUGCUUCACUCAGAAGAAUCUGGACAUCGACCUCGCCUGCCCUCUGUACCAGUGUGGCUCAGGAGCUUGGCUGGGACAGACAGGAGACAGAGUUUCCAACCACAUCUCCCUAAGAAGUCCCUAAUGCCCUCGGACAGAGCAUGCUGAAACUUGGAGAAGAAAAGGAACGCUUGAAUUUUCAGUUUGGAAGAUCCAUGUGGCUAGGAAAUUGCAAAUAACCAAAUUUAAGGAAAAGAGGAAAUAGCCAAAGGCUUAUUAUCUUAAUUUUGUUUUAAUUAGUGUUAGCAUGCCAGAUAUUGUGAGUGUCAUCUAUUUGUAUUUCUGGCUGUGUUUGAUUUCAGAUAACGUACAAAGUCUCUCUUUCUGCUUUGGAUACCACAACGUGGUUCCAAAUAAAGUCUUGGAGAGCUACCAUUAGAAAAAAUAGAAAUGAUCAUUAAAAAAAACUGUUUGUGGAACUGAGACCUGCCGAGACAUGGCUAAAUGUAAUUGCUUGUGGCAGAUGUUUAUGGGAAAACUGAAAGUUUUUUAAUUGCUUAAUUAUUGAAUAAGCAGAAACGUUGAGGUAGGGAAGGAUACAACUUGGGUAUGCCACUACUUCAAGUGACUGCAGCACGGUUCUGUCCAUGGCAGGAAGUCUGUGCCAUGUUGAUUCACAGCCUGAUCGAGCAGAGAUGAAAAAGGUUGGUGUAACAAAUCACCAGCUGGAAUGUUUUGAAUUUCCAGUGCCUGCGCGGUGCUUGGCAUCCACACAGAGCAGCCACCCCAGGUGCUCCCACUUUGAAGAUGAUCAGCUCCAGACCCUCACUUUCAUCUUGGUCACAUAUCCAAUUGAAAGGACCUUGACGUAACCGUGUCUGUUUCACAUUUAAAAGAGAACUGCUUAAAAGCCGAUUUAAUAAUUUGUGUGUGCACCUAAGAAUCUCAAAGCUUUAGCCAUAUCAAUUAAUUCUGGAGGCGACCUCAUGAGGUGAGUAUUAUCCUAACGUAGAUAGGAGUUCGGUGAGGCAUGGUGAAUGUUUUGCUACCUGGAAAACUUCUGUGUCUGGUAAAGGAUGCCAGCCCUUACCAGCCUCUGUGAAUCACCUCAGUGGGCUGACUAACAUCCACCUGCUCUGGCUCUGAACCAUAGAGCUCAGAAGUGUCACAUUCACAUCCUCAACACGUUGCUCCUCCUGGCCCACUGAGUGCCACCCAGACACAGCAUGGUGAGGGCACCUGAUGUGCUGGCUCUGCACUCACCAGGGUGAGAUUUGCUGGCUCCUGCAUGCAGCAGUGGGCCCAGGUGUGUUUAUGGCACAGUCCUGGGGUUCCUCCAAUGCAUGCUAGUUCUCUAGCAAAGAGGAGACACAGGAACAUACAUUAAUGUCAAAGGUCUCGUCACAGCUCUUUUGUAAUGUCUCUUUGUUGUUGCACGCUGGGCUGAGCUUCCAGCUGGUGGCUUUUCCCUCCGCAUCGCCUAAUCUUGGAAGUCUCUCAUCAAACUUCUCCCUGGGAAAGUUGGUAGUUCAUGACACUGAAGCAGGGAGUCCCUGGCUCUGGAGCACAUCUCUGCUACCUGGCAUCCCAGGCUGUGAGUAGCAUCACCCCGUACCCUUGGUGACUCACGUGGGCCUGCCUUCACAGCCUGAGCUGACUCACCAUGGGAUCAGGCAAUGACCAGCGCUGACUCAAGGAAUGGGGCAGUAGACCCUGACCAAGGAGAAUGGAGAAGUCACAAUGGCCUCAGCCUCAUCCUGUCGAAGGUGUCAUGAAACUGCCCUCUAAGAUUGGUCUCCUUAAAGAGUAAUCCAGCGUGAGAGUUCCACCAGGAACACCAACACAACAAAUUUGGUUUGUUUUUUCUGUUAUGGUCUGUCCCUCUCCAGUGCUCCUUUCACUUACAGAUCAUCCAUGGACCACACGGAACUCUCUGGCAGCCUCCUGCUUUUGCUGUGCUUGAAAAAAACUUAUCAUUCAGUUUUAUGCCUUUAGCAAGUUGCUUUUCAUUUUCUUGUACUUUAUUGUAGUUUCACAUCCACUUUUUCAGCCUUUGUGUUCUUUCCCAUCUUUCUUAAAUCCCUAUUUUUUGAAGAAUUUUUUUUUUACAUCUCAGAAGUGUUACAUGGUUUAAUCACAUUGGCUUACUUUUUCUUUUAUUGCAAUACUUUUUUAUUUGAUGCUGAGCCUUCUGUAAAGUGUCUUUAAACAAUUUCAUGUCAUCUCCAAGUGCUUUACUCUUUUUAGCUGCUGAUUUCAAUGAAUUUCCUCACUUUUAUGUGGUUCCCCUUUUUAAAGGUAAAUGUUUAAUUCAGUACGUUCAAUCUAUGUCGAACUUCUGAGAACUUGAGUCACUUACUUAUUUUUCCCUCCCUGGCAUGAACUGUUCUGACAUUUAUACUGUUUAAACCUGGUAUAAUAGUAUUUUGCUAAUUAGUUCUUACUAGAAAGUUUCCCAGAUACGUAUGUUGCCAAUGUUCUUAUUUAAAGCCAGGCAUUCUAGUUCAUCCUCCUUUAUUUUCACAUUGCUGACAUUUGUACAGAAAUGGUUUUAAAUGUGGUCAUGAGCUACCUAGCUGGUUUUUUUUUUGGGGGGGGGGCUGGGGGGGUAUGCACACACGUGCCUUAGUUGGGGCUUCAUUUAUAGACCCUGGUCUUCUCUGUUUUCCACUUCACUCCAUUGCUUUCCAUUCUAUCUUUUUUCUUAACAGAGAGAUUUGAAAGCUUCAACCAAACAGCAUGUUCUUCCAUACCUCUUCCUUAUGCCCAGUUUUUAAUUUAAAACUCUCCUGCAACUCUAACUCCAUUAACUCCCAACUCCUUUCUGUCUUGUUUACAGAGGUCUCAUUUUUUUCUACAUGGGCUCAACUUUUCUAAAUAGCUUUCCCCUUUUCUAAUAAACCUAGCGACGUCUGUAACAAUAGCCUUGCAAGCUUCUUACAUUUAUUUUGCAUACAUAGAACUAUUUAAUAUCACUUAUCAUUCAUCUCCAGGGUUUGAAGUGCUCUCCUUUGCCUGCCCACUUGUGCUCUUCUCUUUGCCACAGUUAAUAGCACAAUCAGUCAUGCUGGAAAGUUACACCCAACCAAUAUUAGGAAACGCUCCCUGCUGCCUUGUAAAUCCCUGGUGCCACCAGUAAGAGCGGAGGAGGAGGAGGAGGAGGAGGCGGUGGAGGAGGCAUUCCAAGCAGAUGGACUCUCAGGCAAGUGAAAUGAAGCUGAGUAGGUCACCCACACUGCUUAUCACGGUCACAUUCACUCAUGGUGAAAUCUUGCCCACUCAACAUCGUCUGGGAAUGUCGCCGUUUGCCGUUCCGGUGGGAAUGGUGUGCUGCUUGGAGAUUUCAGCCACACGCUGCAUUUUGACAGUACCUCUGGGGCAAUCGAGCAGCUCCCUCCCUCUGCCCCUUCCUGUCCCUCCCUGGGCAUGGAUGCUCAUCCACCGAACAACAGCAGAGACCGAGGUACCACGUCAGCCCUGCAGUGGUGUUAAACUACGCCUCUUCCACACGCAGUGUGAGACGGGUUCUUCAGUAGACACAGGGGUUUGUUUACAGCAUUUUCCUGUGUUUAGAUAGUUUCUUAUUCGCACAGGGAGUGAUCAAAACUCAGGUACACCGUCUCAGUGAACAAGAUGAGUGCAUCUGCGGAAAAGGAACGUGAUACAUGCACAUGGAGAACAAGUGUGAUGUCUCUCCUGUUUCCCCCUCCCCAGCACUGCCAUGCCAUGCUCCCUCUGAUCCAUGACCACAACUCCGUGCCUCAGACGUCACUCCACAGCAGCACAGCCCUUUCCCAGGAGAUAAGUGAGGGUGGUUUUUUUUUUUUUUUUGCCUACACAACAGCUCUCCUGAGCUUUCCCAUGCUGGGAGGGAGGGAGGAGAUCCAGCUUCCUCCCUCCCUGUCCAAGCGCCAGCCCCCUGGGCCUGCCCUGGCACCGCUGGGAACAUCCAGGGGCAUUAUGCAAUUUGCAGAGGCGGUUUUUUUCAUGCAGCCUGGCAAAGCAGCCUCUGAUAAUGGCUCUCCCUUUGUGUGUAGCACACAAUCGAGCUCAUGAUCUUCUCUCCAGCACAGGCAGCCCACGGUGUUGUGUCCUGUACUGCUGUGAUGACGAGAGCAGGGCCAUGCACAGGACAGGGAGCCCUGCGGCGCUUGCAUCAGUGAAUCACCUACCCUGAGUGCUAGUUAGGCACAAAUCAUUAAUGGUCUAAAAGGGCUGGAAUAAGCUAGCUCGGCUUCCAGUGGAAGCGUGGAUUGUGUCUUUUUCAGGAGGCAUGGGAAGCCCUUCUUACAUCUUUUUUUAAACUUCGCGACGUUGGCUUCUGAGUAAUGCUGCUGAUUUCAUUUUCCAAAGGUCACGGGGGAAUUCUCUUCUGCCAUCUCCAAAGGGCAUGAUAAAUGUUCCUCUAACAAAGUAAGGAAUUGUUCAACACAAUGCGCUUAGCAAUUACCUUGCCAUAAAGGUAUUUACAACAGGUACAGUAAGAUAAACCAGUUUGUCUCCUAUUGUUUUUCAAAGGGGGACAAAAAAGGGAAAGGCUGUAGCCAUUUUGUGGUGAAUUGGAGGGAUAAAUAUAAUUUUAUGUCCUCACUGAAUGCUUUCAUGGGUCUUAAAAGAUACUUUAAUAGACUUAAAAGUCUAUUUAUAGACUAUUCUGUUUAUAGACAAUCCCUUUUAGAGAUCAGAAAACAUAGUCACUUCUGUAUUCCGUGUAUCUAUUUAAAUUGCAUCCAAAUUUAAAGUUGUCCAUGACACAUUAAUUCAGUGCCUUUUCUGAAGGGAAAUGAAUUUUAUAAUUCUGCCUCCUGCAUAAUGCUCUUUCUCAUUUUGGACCUAAGUUUGCUUCUAAUACGGUGGGCAGAGGAGUCAGCCACGCAAGAAAUGAGAAGCAAAGGCUCUACAGCGUGUUACUGAAUGCAGAUCUGAUACCAGCACCAGUGUGGGUCCGUUUGGCAGGAGGAAAACCAGCCCUUCACCCUGGCCCGUGGGAUAGAAACACGGUGCAAAUCCAGUUCAACAAGUGUGCACCUACCUCCCUGACCUCUUCCACUUGGCAGCCUUUUCUGCCCAUUUUUGUCUGAGAGGCCGAUGUGGGAGUGAACCACGGAAACCAAACUGCCCCUCCAGCCCUCAGACUGGUCCCAGUCCGUUCUACUGCACGUGCACUGGCCUGACAAGGUGAAGGAGAGAUUUCAUCACCCUGGCGUGUGGGUAAGUAGGGGCCAGUGCAAUCAGCCCAGUGUUUUUCACCAGCAUGAGGUAAAAAUUUGGAGAAAAAGACACAGCCACUGUCUGUGGCUAUGUGAUGGGCAGGUGAUGGUACCUGCUUUUGCUGCAGAAGAGGAGGCAGUGUAACAGCUCUCUGGAGUGAGCAUCCCAUCUAUUUUCUUGGGGCUGGGGGCUCAACUGUAGCCCCGAGUCAGAGACAGCAUGGAUUUCCAUUUUCCAGAGAUGCAGGAUUUCCAGCUUCUGUUUGAAAGUCUGGGUGACCUUCAGCACUCCUGCUGUGCCUGUGCAAGCAAAGCUCCCCACUCUGAACUGCCUGUGGGUCACACACCACUAGGAAGAGGGGAGAUGUUGUAGGUAAAGCACUGAGAAAUGGGUACAAAGGAGAAAGGGUCUGUGGCUCUGCCACCAAGUUCUUUUUGCAAUCUUGUGCAGAUCAUUUCUCACAUCUGUGCAUCCAUUUCCGAUCUGUGACAUGAAAAUAGCAGUAUUUAAUCUCACCCAUGCACUGUUGUCCUACACUAUAAAAUCUUCCAAGGAAAAACUGCCUAUUCCUAGGCUAAUAUACAGAGUCUAGCGCCACAGGGCACUCUUUCUCCUACCUGUUUCCAUAUGUGGUGUCUGGGCUUUGCAAUGACUGUCAUGUGGGGUAAACCGUGACAUCUUUGUGAUACGUGCAUUUGUGUCCAGCCUCGAAACGUUAUUUCAUUCCCUGAGGUGUGUGCUGUUAUCAGCUGAAUGAAAUGUCCCAGUGCCCUGGCAAUUAUUCAUUAGGUAAGAUUUAAUGUGUGUGCGUGCAGGGCUGGCAGCUACAAGUGGAUCCCACGGGAGAGGUCUGUGAGCCAAGCUUGUGUCAGCUGUAGGGUAAGGAUGGGUGAGUAACUGGAAUAAAGAUAACAAACUGGUGAGAUCAGUAGCAGUUUGCCCAAAACUUAACCCAAAACCUUUCCUUUUCAUCUUGAGGCCAAUCUCACUGUUCAGAUCAGGCGGCUGUGAGACUUGGGGUGGAUUUGCAAAUCCUAGAACACCUAGAACAAAUCACAGCGCUGGACUGAGGCAAAGCAAUGUUUGGGACCCAAAUCCAGCUGCCACCUGAUUACUGUUUUCCUGUUCAAAGGACUACCUCUGCAGUAUUUGGUGGCUGCCUUGGUCACACCAGUUUGGACUGGAGAGCAUCUGGAAAUCCAGUUACAAGAUCACGAAGCAGUUGUCUUCUCAUUUCUGAAAUAUCAGCAAACCCUCCUCCGCAAAACUGAAAAUGUUUUGAAUAAUAAAAUGAAGGAUGAGAUUCUUCAAGCUUGGCUGGGGGAGCAGAACGACUCAUCCCUGCUACAAUUAAAAGGGACAUCUACAUCUCUACACCUCCUGGGCAGCCCUGCUUGGGGCAUCAUAGCUGGGGCUUCUCAGUCUGUCACGUGCCAGGAGGUGACAGCAGCAGAGGACUUCUGCUGUGAAUGCUGGCCUUGCACAGAGAAGGAUGUAUUUCAAAAACAAAGAGCUCCUGAGCUGGUCUUCUGUGGGUGUCUGACUGCAGCUUGUUCAAACAUAAGUCAAUCACUCUAGUUAACAGCUCUACCUGAGAGGCGGCUGUAGGACUGAUCCAUAAUAGGACUCCCUAAUGCAUUGGCUGCACUGUUUUAUUGCAGGUUUUAUUACACACGGAGUACUCACAUCACGUCGCCUUCCCAUAGCAUGAGGUGUUUAUCUCCUGGGUGAGGAUUAGCACAGCACCGUACCACGAAGUCGAGUAUAGCUGAGUAAGUGGUUUAGUGUAAUCCUCCCGGGGAUUGCUGUCCUGAUGGGAUUCCUGGGAAGGCCCUAGGCUUGUACCAGGCUUUGAGAUGGCUUUCCAUCAGAUUUUCGAGAGGGCUUUUUGGAGUUUGUGCAGCUUUUCUGUGAUGGAGUCUGUCUCCAAGACAUCUGGGCAGUGAUUGGGUCGGCAAAGACCAUCGCAGAGCUUAAAGAUGAUCUGUGUUGUUGUGUGGAGAAGACCCCACUGAGUCAUCAGAUGAUCAGAGUAUGACUCUGACAAGGGGCCACCCCAGUACAGGCUUCACACAGGGUCCUGUCUGGACAGUUGUGUUUGAAGUUGGUGUUCUCUGCAGAACAGGGUAAGAGCGUGGCCGCUGCACUGCCCAGGCACUUAGAAAUCUGUUUCCUAGUGGUUAGAAUAAAGAGCAAACAGGAGCUACUCAAAGUCACAGCGAUUUACAUCCUAUAUCCUCUCUUCUUAUUUUGUUAUUAGCCAAUGGCGAAAUUUUCUGGUCUGGGUUAUGUAGGAAAUUUGGUCCAAGCCCACACAUAAGCGCAGAAGAGACCUUUGAAUUAAAGUUACUAAACAAAAGGUUUCCAGCAGGAAAAAAUGAAAGCAGUGCCAGUCUGUCUUAGAGUGACAUUUCUAGACUAAGAAGGUCAUGCACAAUGACAAAAUAGAAGGUCCUACAAUAACAAAACAGAAAUAAUGGUAGCUGGAAAAGGAGCUUUGAUGGUGAGGGAGCUUUUAAGCAGUCCAGAUAUAAAGCAUAUCCUUGGGGCCCUGGCAAGGAUGCAAACUUCUCUCCCACACAACCUCAGUCACUCUUGAAAAGCCAAGUUUUAGAAUUUUAAAAGGCAAAAAUAUUACAGCAACAGCAACAACAAACAUGAAAAUCAUAUGUUAAAUGAUUACUAAUGAUCUUAUCAAUGUGGUGUAUAAUUGAGAGGGAGAGGAGGCCAAAAGAAGCACUCAACGUUCUUCAGGUUUAUCUUUUUAAGUAUUCAACGAUUAUUGAUGGGACUAAAGCAAACUAACAGCUGGGUUUUGCAGAGAGGUCUCAGCUUUAUAAUGGAGAAGGCAUUGUGUUUGAGGGAGGACGGCAAAUGGACUCCUGCAGUACAAAAGUAGCCAAAGGAAAAAUCAGAUACUAAGAUCUGUGGAAAGAGGGCUUUUGGCUGGACAGCUAAUUUUUUAGCUUUUUUUUUUCAGAACCCAACUGCCUGGAGGCACCUAGAGUCAAUUGAAAUGUGUAUUGGUGGGCAUCCCAGCGUGGUACCCAUGGGGUAGUUGGAUGCCCAGGCCAUCCCUCUAGCCAUGCUCAGGUGCAGAUAGAUGCUGUGUGCUCUGUUGGGGCAAGCAGAGAUGGGACAACAGCGUGAACGUGUUGCAGAGGCUGUGUACCUUUAGCUCCCCAGUUCAGAAAUAACCCAGAGAGACAAACAGGCAAUUGGGAGACAUAAUUGCUCCGGCAGCCCAACGAGGCCACAGGAUAUUUGUGGGCACCAGCGCUGCAGCAGGGAAAUCAGGGCAGUUGGUGCUUCCCUUGUGCAAAACGGCCAGGGCACAAACCCCAGCUGCGUGUGAGCUACUGGAGCAAGCUGUGAAAAGCACUGGGCCUGGUCAGUUAUUUAACUGUCAAUCAGUUGACCUUUCUGAAAUACUCCGUAUUUUACUGUUGCGUUAGGAACUGUGAAAAAUGCAGGUCCUCUCUUCUCGCAGCAUUGCAAGUCUCCCUGGGUCAAUAAUCUUGUCAAAUUAUUUCACCCUGCUCCCAAGCAUUUAGAUUUUUCAGGCCUUUUCCCCACUGGCUCUGCUCUUUGGCAGUCUUAGAAAUGGAAAAGCGGUAGGCUUUUGGUGAAAAUGUGAAUGUUGGCAAAGGUCCCUAAAGUCAAAUAUUGAGAGAAUCACUGACUGACUGGGAGAGCCACAUGCAGCACCUAAAUGCACAUAUUUAAGCAGUAAUUGAAGUAGUUUUUCGGAAAUCAUGUUGCUUUGCUGCAUUGUCUGUGCUCUUCUAGGUCUGGCUGGUUUUCUGCUGUUGUUAAGAACAAAACACACCUCAUUUGCUGCAGAAAACAAAGGCUCAUUUAGGAUCAUUACGGCUGACGUUGCAUCCAGGCUGCUCUUUGCCACCGUUCCCUUUGGAGAUGAAGCUGGUUUGAGAAGGUCCCCCUGCCCUGAGCCCUGCUCUCGUCCUGCCCACCCACUGCUGCCUGCUCUCCACCCCCCGAGGGGUGCAGGACAGCCAUGGGUGGCCUGUGCUGGGACCCCAACCGCUGAAAUCACCGGGUGGCAUUUUUAGGAGGUUACAAAGUGUGUUUAACCUGGAUUCACAGAGUGUCCCGGUGAAAGAAAGAACCCAGCAAGUCAAAACAGAUCAUCUUCUUGUGGGAUUAAUGAGCUGAAGCAGGUUUUACGAGCCCCAAAGCCAACACAAAGGAGGCAAUGGGAACUUCUCCCGGGAGCGGGGAUGGGGACAGGGACAA